rnacentral:rRNA from 1 species
GAUGAACGCUGACAGAAUGCUUAACACAUGCAAGUCUACUUGAUCCUUCGGGUGAUGGUGGCGGACGGGUGAGUAACGCGUAAAGAACUUGCCUUGCAGUCUGGGACAACGUCUGGAAACGGACGCUAAUACCGGAUAUUAUGAUUGAAUCGCAUGAUUUAAUUAUGAAAGCUAUAUGCGCUGCGAGAGAGCUUUGCGUCCCAUUAGUUAGUUGGUGAGGUAACGGCUCACCAAGACGAUGAUGGGUAGCCGGCCUGAGAGGGUGAACGGCCACAAGGGGACUGAGACACGGCCCUUACUCCUACGGGAGGCAGCAGUGGGGAAUAUUGGACAAUGGACCAAAAGUCUGAUCCAGCAAUUCUGUGUGCACGAUGAAGUUUUUCGGAAUGUAAAGUGCUUUCAGUUGGGAAGAAGAAAGUGACGGUACCAACAGAAGAAGCGACGGCUAAAUACGUGCCAGCAGCCGCGGUAAUACGUAUGUCGCAAGCGUUAUCCGGAUUUAUUGGGCGUAAAGCGCGUCUAGGCGGUUUGGUAAGUCUGAUGUGAAAAUGCGGGGCUCAACUCCGUAUUGCGUUGGAAACUGCCAAACUAGAGUACUGGAGAGGUAGGCGGAACUACAAGUGUAGAGGUGAAAUUCGUAGAUAUUUGUAGGAAUGCCGAUGGGGAAGCCAGCCUACUGGACAGAUACUGACGCUAAAGCGCGAAAGCGUAGGUAGCAAACAGG